rnacentral:lncRNA from 1 species
AGUUUCCUUCCUACACAAAGUACAGGCCACAAAUCAAAUAUCGCUUCGACAAAAAUAAAAUAUAUAUUUCCUGGGUGGCAACAAAAAAAACUUGAUUUUAAUGGGCCAAACCAACUUAGAGCAGAAAUCAAACCACUUAGAUCUUUUAAUUCUUUUAUCUUUAUUGGCUAAACUUUAAGUUUUAUUACAUAUGAAGCGUGUACCAUCCGGUGCUUACUUGAGCUAGUUUUCUAUGCUGGAAGGCUUGACGAGGCAGUGCGCGGACCAAGGAAGUUCGCCAG